ensembl:processed_transcript Gm13734 predicted gene 13734
GCAAUCCUAUUAUAAAGAUCAAGUCCUUAAAGACUUGCAGAAGCCAGCUCUUGUAUGGCAGAUGUCUUGUUCUGAGCUUUGUUAUGUUGAAAGAAAGAAAGUGUUAAGUUUCCAUUUUCAGAUUUUGAUGUUUUCUGUUAUUUCCAAAACGCUAAAGGAAACUCAUUACCAGUUAUCCAAGUAUAGUACUAUACUUAAACAGCUUAGAACAUUAUAUUAUAAUUUGUGGAUUAUAUAUCUUUCAACCUUCCAGAUCUCAUAGACGAAAGCAUUAUUUACCCAAUGCUUGUACACUUACAUUAAAUCUAUAUUCACUAUUUUCUAGCAUAUGGGCAACUCUUCAUGACCAUGAUGGUUAUCAGAUUCUGGAGAAAAUCCUUUUUAUAGUCCUUAAGUGAAGUGACUAUUUUGGAAUUAAGUAGACUACUGAAAACAUGGCAAUUUGGAAUCAUACAGGUGUGAGUGAAUUCAUUCUGGUAGGCCUGACUGAAAAUCCUAAUUGGCAGGUUCCUCUCUUCUUGCUUUUCAGUGUAGUGUAUUUCAUCAUUCUUGUAGGUAAUUGGGGAAUGAUUAUCUUGAUCUGGUUGAAUGCCCAACUUCAUACACCAAUGUACUUUUUCCUUAGUAACCUUUCUUUCUGUGAUAUCUGCUACUCUACUAUCAUUGCUCCAAAGAUGCUGCUCAAUUUCUUGUCAGAACACAAGUCUAGUACAUUCUUUGCCUGUAUUCUGCAGAGUUUCUUUUUUGCAGUUUAUGUAACGACAGAAGUAAUCCUCCUGUCUAUGAUGGCCUAUGAUCGCUAUGUGGCAAUUG